rnacentral:tRNA from 1 species
GCCGCCGUGGUGUAGCCCGGCUAUCAUGCGGGACUCUCAAUCCCGUGACCCGGGUUCAAAUCCCGGCGGCGGCA